UGGGGAAUAUUGCACAAUGGGCGCAAGCCUGAUGCAGCCAUGCCGCGUGUAUGAAGAAGGCCUUCGGGUUGUAAAGUACUUUCAGCGGGGAGGAAGGCGAUAAGGUUAAUAACCUUGUCGAUUGACGUUACCCGCAGAAGAAGCACCGGCUAACUCCGUGCCAGCAGCCGCGGUAAUACGGAGGGUGCAAGCGUUAAUCGGAAUUACUGGGCGUAAAGCGCACGCAGGCGGUCUGUCAAGUCGGAUGUGAAAUCCCCGGGCUCAACCUGGGAACUGCAUUCGAAACUGGCAGGCUAGAGUCUUGUAGAGGGGGGUAGAAUUCCAGGUGUAGCGGUGAAAUGCGUAGAGAUCUGGAGGAAUACCGGUGGCGAAGGCGGCCCCCUGGACAAAAACUGACGCUCAGGUGCGAAAGCGUGGGGAGCAAACA
rnacentral:rRNA from 1 species